rnacentral:rRNA from 1 species
AUUGAACGCUGGCGGCAUGCUUUACACAUGCAAGUCGAACGGUAACAGGGUGCUUGCACCGCUGACGAGUGGCGAACGGGUGAGUAAUGCGUCGGAACGUGCCGAGUAGUGGGGGACAACGCAGCGAAAGUUGUGCUAAUACCGCAUACGUACUGAGGUAGAAAGUGGGGGACCUUCGGGCCUCACGCUAUUCGAGCGGCCGACGUCUGAUUAGCUAGUAGGUGAGGUAAAGGCUCACCUAGGCGACGAUCAGUAGCGGGUCUGAGAGGAUGAUCCGCCACACUGGGACUCAGACACGGCCCAGACUCCUACGGGAGGCAGCAGUGGGGAAUUUUGGACAAUGGGCGAAAGCCUGAUCCAGCCAUGCCGCGUGUCUGAAGAAGGCCUUCGGGUUGUAAAGGACUUUUGUCAGGGAGGAAAUCCCUAGCGUUAAUACCGCUGGGGGAUGACAGUACCUGAAGAAUAAGCACCGGCUAACUACGUGCCAGCCGCCGCCGUAAGAC